rnacentral:lncRNA from 1 species
AGUCACCCCCGGUCUCUUCUCUUUCCUCUAGUCUAGUCACGUUCACUCUCUCCUCCUCUAGUCUAGUCACCCCCAGUCUCUUUUCUUUCCUCUAGACUAGUCACGUUCACUCUCUCCUCCUCUAGACUAGUCACCCCCGGUCUCUUUUCUUUCCUCUAGUCUAGUCACCCCCGGUCUCUUUUCUUUCCUCUAGUCUAGUCACGUUCACUCUCUCCUCCUCUAGACUAGUCACCCCCGGUCUCUUUUCUUUCCUCUAGUCUAGUCACCCCCGUCUCUUUUCUUUCCUCUAGACUAGUCACGUUCACUCUCUCCUCCUCUAGACUAGUCACCCC